GAACGCGCCGAGGCCCCACGGCCCAGUCCCCGCGCCGCACUCCGCCAGACUCCACGGCGAGGCCGCAGAGUGCAGGCCGACCGUCCAGCGCCUGUCCACGCCAGCCCACGCCAGCCAGGCCCUCGGCAGGACCCGCACCACCAAGAGGACCUCCCUGAGGACCUCCAGGAAGGCGCCUGAGCCUUCCCUCUCUUCGCCUGGACGGCAGGUUAUGGGAGUGACCAACUUCACGAUGCUUCUCACGAUCCUCGUGAUCACCCUCCUCCUCACCAUCACCGUCUCCUACGGCGUGUCCGUCAAGCUGGGCCAUGUGCCCCUCGCCUUCCCCUACAUCAGCGAGACAGGCAACACGCAGCCUGAGAGCUGCAUCUUCAGCUUCGGCAUGAACAUCGCCUCCUUCUUGUACGCCGUGGCCGUGUACCUGCGCUACCGCGAGCUGGUCCACUUCCGCGCCAUGAGCCCCGAGAGCCGCAUCUCCGUGCCGUGGAACCGCUUCGGGCUGUGGCUGGGCUCGCUGAGCGCGCUGGGGCUGUGCGUGGUGGCCAACUUCCAGGUGGGCAAGGUGCCCGUGCCGCACUACCUGGGCGCCAUGUGCUGCUUCGUGGGCGGCUCCGCCUACUUCGCCCUGCAGACCUGGUUCUCGAAGCGCAUGUGCCCGCAAGUGAGCACCAAGCAGAUGGUGGUGCUGCGGACGGCGCUCACCGUCAUGUCCGCCGUGGCGCUGGUCGUGUGCGUGGCGUCGGCACUCGUCGCCAUCCCGCAGUUUGACGGUAACAUGCACUGGACGGACCAGGUGGACUGGCGGCCGGAGCACAAGGGCUACGCGCUGCACUGCGUGUCCACGGCGGCCGAGUGGCUCGUGGCGCUGCUCUUCGUGGGCAGCAUCGUCACCUACAUCCCUGAGAUGCGCGCCGUGUCCCUGAGCCCGCCCACCUUCAGGAUCACCGUGAUCGCGUAGCCAGGCGUGGCCAGGCCUAGGCAGUCCUUGCCUACCAGCGCGGCGGCGCCUGUCCCACUUAACGAUUUUGUUACUGGAAUCGGUAACAACGACCAAAGUAGCCGAAAAGUACUGACGACCUCAUCUCGACGCCAUGCUCAAUUAGGUGAAGCGCCUGUAUGAAAAACGACAACUCCGGGUGUAACAAGUGUAUCUGUGAUAACCAUGUUUCAUCAUAUCAAUCAAUUUAAAUUUAACUUUUUUGCAUAUUUUUUUUUGUUUGUAUAUUGUAACUUUUGUUCUAAAAUGAAACGAAUAUAUGUGAUCAUUGUGGUUU